AUGCGAAGGUCCCAGCAGAGGGGUAAGGAACUCUAUAAAUUGAGGCCCCUCUAACAAUCAUAAAAAUUCCUUCGCAGAUUAAUUUGCCGAAUCGUAGGAUGCCCUGAAUUUCUCAUGACGGGCCGUCUUGAACCCUCGGCUAAAUAUCA
rnacentral:snoRNA from 13 species